AAUCGGUGUGUAACCUUAACUAAGUAUAUACAUACUAAGUGUGUAAUAUAUAUUUAUAAAAUAUAAUAUACUGCUAUAAAAACAUACUAAAUAUAAAUAGAAAAAACUAACUAACAUAACAACAUUCUGAACGAAUGUGAAUGGAAGUGACACUUGACGUGCUUCACAAAAUUCUAUAAUUAGCUAUGGUCAAAGCCGUUCACCAAUGACCAUACACACACAAUGCAAACUAUUUACGAAUUACGUAAUGGCGACGAGUGCUUAUCAACAAUUAUUAUGCAAGGCAUCAUUGUGUUCAAAUUGUGGAAAUGAGUGUCUGAAAUGGUGUUAUGAAAGAAAAAUAAAAUAAAAUAACGUAUUAAGUGUGAACGAGUAUGCAGGUCGAUCGUAAUCCUGCUACCAGGAUGGCGUAGACAAAAAUAGAGGAAAUGACAGAGAGAUGAG